AGUAAAUAGCCGGGGAGCUUGUAGACAGGCUGAGAGGAAGGUGUGAACUUCGACCCUGAUACCUGAUUUGGAUAAUGCCAACGUAGGAAAGAAUUGAUUUUAAGAA
rfam:Lachnospiraceae bacterium 9_1_43BFAA genomic scaffold supercont1.5, whole genome shotgun sequence.